AGAGAAUAGAUGCUGUGAGUAU
rnacentral:miRNA from 1 species